GAUGAACGCUGGCGGCGUGCCUAAUACAUGCAAGUCGAGCGAACAGACGAGGAGCUUGCUCCUCUGACGUUAGCGGCGGACGGGUGAGUAACACGUGGAUAACCUACCUAUAAGACUGGGAUAACUUCGGGAAACCGGAGCUAAUACCGGAUAAUAUAUUGAACCGCAUGGUUCAAUAGUGAAAGACGGUUUUGCUGUCACUUAUAGAUGGAUCCGCGCCGCAUUAGCUAGUUGGUAAGGUAACGGCUUACCAAGGCAACGAUGCGUAGCCGACCUGAGAGGGGGAUCGGCCACACUGGAGCUGAGACACGGUCCAGACUCCUACGGGAGGCAGCAGUAGGGAAUCUUCCGCAAUGGGCGAAAGCCUGACGGAGCAACGCCGCGUGAGUGAUGAAGGGCUUCGGAUCGUAAAACUCUGUUAUUAGGGAAGAACAAAUGUGUAAGUAACGAUGCACGUCUUGACGGUACCUAAGCAGAAAGCCACGGCUAACUACGU
rnacentral:rRNA from 1 species